rnacentral:rRNA from 1 species
GGCACCACAACGGGUGGAGCCUGCGGUUUAAUUGGACUCAACGCCGGGCAGCUCACCGGAUAAGACAGCUGGAUGAUAGCCGGGCUGAAGACUCUGCUUGACUAGCUGAGAGGAGGUGCAUGGCCGUCGUCAGUUCGUACUGUGAAGCAUCCUGUUAAGUCAGGCAACGAGCGAGACCCACGCCAACAGUUGCCAGCAUGUCCUCCGGGAUGAUGGGGACACUGUUGGGACCGCCUCUGCUAAAGAGGAGGAAGGAAUGGGCAACGGUAGGUCAGCAUGCCCCGAAUUAUCCGGGCUACACGCGGGCUACAAUGGUCAGGACAAUGGGUAUCGACACCGAGAGGUGGAGGCAAUCUCCUAAACCUGUCCUUAGUUCGGAUUGUGGGCUGCAACUCGCCCACAUGAAGCUGGAAUCCGUAGUAAUCGCGUUUCAAAAUGGCACGGUGAAUAUGUCCCUGCUCCUU